GUGGGUAUAACUCAGUGGUAGGGCACAUACUUGGUAUGCAUGAGGUCCUGGAUUCAAUCCCCAGUCCUUCCA
rfam:Camelus ferus unplaced genomic scaffold scaffold1086, whole genome shotgun sequence.